rnacentral:rRNA from 1 species
AGGACGAACGCUGGCGGCGUGCCUAACACAUGCAAGUGGAGCGACGACCCAGGCUUCGGCCUGGUGCAAAGCCGCGAACGGGUGAGUAACACGUGGGUAACCUGCCCCGAUGAUUGGGACAACCCGAGGAAACUCGGGCUAAUACCGAAUGUGCCCUACAGCCGUAAGGUUGCUGGGGGAAAGGAAGCUUCGGCCUCCGCAUCGGGAUGGGCCCGCGGCCCAUUAGCUUGUUGGUGAGGUAAUGGCUCACCAAGGCUACGAUGGGUAGCUGGUCUGAGAGGACGAUCAGCCACACUGGGACUGAGACACGGCCCAGACUCCUACGGGAGGCAGCAGUGGGGAAUCUUGCGCAAUGCGCGAAAGCGUGACGCAGCAACGCCGCGUGGGGGAAGACGGCCUUCGGGUUGUAAACCCCUUUCAGCUCUGACGAAGCGCAAGUGACGGUAGGAGCAGAAGAAGCACCGGCCAACUACGCGCCAGCAGCCGCGGU